AGUGAACGCUGGCGGUAGGCCUAACACAUGCAAGUCGAACGGCAGCACAGUAAGAGCUUGCUCUUACGGGUGGCGAGUGGCGGGCGGGUGAGGAAUACAUCGGAAUCUACUUUUUCGUGGGGGAUAACGUAGGGAAACUUACGCUAAUACCGCAUACGACCUACGGGUGAAAGCAUGGGUUCUUCUGACCUUGCGCGAUUGUAUGAGCCGAUGUCGGAUUAGCUUGUUGGCGGGGUAAAGGCCCACCAAGGCGACGAUCCGUAGCUGGUCUGAGAGGAUGAUCAGCCACACUGGAACUGAGACACGGUCCAGACUCCUACGGGAGGCAGCAGUGGGGAAUAUUGGACAAAGGGCGCAAGCCUGAUCCAGCCAUACCGCGUGGGUGAAGAAGGCCUUCGGGUUGUAAAGCCCUUUUGUUGGGAAAGAAAAGCAGCAGGUUAAUACCCCGCUGUUCUGACGGUACCCAAAGAAUAAGCACCGGCUAACUUCGUG
rnacentral:rRNA from 1 species